UCCUCAAAGUUAACUCUGUGUCUUUAUUGUUGUCUUUCUGCCAUUCUGUCUUAAUUCAUGUACAUGAAGAAGAGGGGUGUUUGUGUGUAGUGAACUGGUGGCCUUUAACGUUGCAGUUGGGGCUUGCACAGGGACUCUUCCACUUGCCGCCAUCACUCAGACAAGCUGGGAAAGGGUGUACUGACUGCUGUAUCUCUUGAACAUUCCCAACUAGAAACCAUGGCUGGAUUUUACGGCUGCUUGCAGGGAAAGAAUUAAGACAUGAAACAGAGGACGUCAUCGCUGCUGGUCAGUAUUGGAGUCAGUCCAAGCAGUGACUGCAGUAUCAUGGCCUCUGGACCAGCAGAUGUGUUGACCAACCAGGAUCCAGCAGACACCACCGACGAGUGCACAGGCAAGAAGAAGUCCAAGUUCCAGACCUUCAAGAACUUAUUUUCUAAGAAGAAGAGAAAGGAGGCCGCUGCGCCUGCUGGGGGGAACAGAGGGUUGAAGUGUAGCCAGUCUAGUGACAAUGUCAACGCCCCCGAACCUGCACUUCUCAUCCGCUCUGAGAAAGACGAGGGCUCUGGGUCAAAAAUAAAUAUGGGUAAUAAGGCUCUGUCACAUGACAGUGUCUUUGUCUCUGAAUCUCCCCUGUCAGAGGUGACUGAGGGUCUGGGAGUCUCUCAGGACAGCAUCCAUGGGAAAGUCAAGUCUCUACAGGUCAUCAGGCUAGGCUCUCCUCCCUCUCUGUGUGUGAAGAAGAUGGAUGACGCAGGGACUCUUUCAGAGGAUGACGGCCUGCCCUGCAGCCCACCAGAGUACUCCACCCUGCACACUGUCCUGGCUGGGGUGUCUCACAGGUCUUCCAAACCGGUGCAGAGGAACAGCUCCCUGAGUCUGGAAGGGACUGACAGUGAUGAAGACCAGAUGUCCUGUGAGACAGGCUCCAGAUCGGUCAGUCCUCUGGUCUUCCUGCCUGUAGACUUCAGCCAGCCUGCCAGUUCCAUGGGCUGUCUGGACAACACUGCCGCUCGCCACCGCCUGGCUGUCCGACACAAGGCCUGUACCAAGACGAGGAAACCCACCACUAGGGUUGAUGGCAGGGCUGAGGGAGAAUCAUUCCAGGAGGAAAGACAGAAUUGUAUCAUUCCCGAAUCUGUGGAGGAGGAUGAGGAGGAAGAUGUGAAACGCGAGCAGGCUGGUGUUGAGGAGGAGGAGGAGGAGCAGACAGAUGGGGUCGUGGUGUCCCAGCAGGCCGAGCGGUCAGCCCCAGAUGAGGAGGAUAAGCAGGGUGUCCAACAGGAAGUGUCUCAUGCUCAGGAUGCCCCCUCCCUCUCCAUACAGAAUGACUCUGACUCUGAGGAAUGUUUUUCAGGCCAGGCUGAGGUUCCAGCUCCCUGGCUCCAGACCGUCCCACUGCUUGGCUCCCUGAAGUCUCUGGAGCCCCCUACUGGAGAUGACUUCCUCCUGGCCCCUCCUGGGUGUGAGUUGGCUGUGGAGGGAGGCUCUCUACUCCAGGAGGUGUUGCGCUCCCUCAAGGGUCCACUGACAUCUGUCCUGGGACUGGAGACAGAGGCUGUGCUCCUGGAGGUGGAGGUGAAUAUGGAGGGGUCAGAGGCUGAGAGCGGGGUGGAUGAGCUGGCAUUGAACCCACAGGAAGAAGCGUGUCUCCCCAGUGAUGGGCCGGACUGCCCAGCAGAGCCCCGAGAGGAGGUGGAGGGUGGGCUUUAUGAAUCUGAGGAGGAGUUAGUGGUGGAACAUUUCAAUCCAAAGGAGGAAGAGGAAGAUGCAGAGGAAAUCAACCCUGAGUACUUUACCAAAGAAGAUCAGGACAUGCCUUCAGUGGAAAAGGAGGAAGAAGAGGAGAGGGAGGAGGGGGCAGAGGUAGAGGAGAAGGAAACAGAGGAGGUUGUGGAAGAUGAGAGGAAGGAAGAGCCAGUCUCAGAUGUGCCAGUGCAGACAGCCUUAUUGGAGCCAGGGGAGGAAGAGGAUGUAAAUCCAACCUCUGUGGAGGAUGAUUUACAGCAGGUUCCAGACAGAGACCCUGAGAGAGCUUGUGAGAGCCCUGAGUGCACCACUGAACUGUCUGACCAAACAGUCACGGACCAAGCCUGUCUCCCCCAGCUGCCAAACAGCAGUACACCUCCUCCAGAGUCCCUGGACCAGCCUGAGGCCCCUGCACACACCACACAGGACCAGGAAGAGCCCAGUGUAACAACUGACCAGCCCUGUAUAACCAGUCCCAGUGCAGCCACCGGCCCAGAGCAGAGCCUCCAGGAGCACUGCAGUGGACCAACUGCCACCGAGGAUCCUGGGAAACCAUCUGGUGGUUCUGAACAUAAUAGACCCAGGUACACCAUUGCCCCUGCCUGGCAAAGGUUGGCUACCAAAGAGCUAACCUCCCCUUCUCCAUCUCCCUCGGUCACUGUGCCUGGGGCUGUGGAAGCAAAAAGAGACCCCCCAAGUGGAGUGGAGCCACUUAGCCCUGUGGGGGCUGAUGUCCCUGCUAGUCCCAGCCCAACACAGAGCACCACAGCACCCAUCAUGUCACCUGAAGACACUCCCGCUGCAGCCCAGGAGGAAGAGACCCCUGAGAAUCUGUUUGGUGUCAGGCUGAGGAAGACCUCUGUGGGUAUGCUUCGCUUAGGCUCAGAGAGUGAAACUCCCCCUGCAUCCCCAGCACACUCACUUCCCAUAGAGCCACAGAGGGCCUCGUUCACUGAACCACAGCCAAACAGCAAACCUGCCCUGCCCAGAAAGCCCUCAGAGCUGGAUGGUAUGGUCAAGCCCAAGAGAACACCAGAUCUGUCUGUGGGUCGAGAGCCUAGUGGGGGACCUGGUGGGGGAUCUCAAUCGCCAAGCUGGAUCUCAGUGGCCAGACAAAAGCAGAGGAUCUUAAAAGAGAACUCAUUGGAGGAAACCACGGAUAACAAAGUCCCUGCAGAGAUGGAGGAGCCUAACAGAAAAAAAUCUAUUCGUACAUUGACAAGGCCUGUCAACAAAGACCAAGCCAAGCCUCCAGGAUCUCCUGUUAAAGUGUUGUGUUCCCUGGAGAUCUCCAAACCUGUCGUGGUUGAGAAGGAAGGGAAGAGAGUCCCCUACAGCCCUGGCUCAGGACGAGCCCCCGUGGUUGGCCCUGGCUAAGAAGAAGGCCAAAGCCUGGAGCGAGAUGCCCCAGAUAGUGCAGUGAAGAUGGGCCAAACCAUCCGUCCGCUGUUGGAUCAGAAUGCAUUUGCACACCCAGAGUAUAAAUUUUGUUUUCUACUUCUUCUGCUGUUCUAAUACCUUCAAGCUUCUGAUUGGUCAGAUACUGAAACCCUCAAAUCACACGCUGCAGUGAAAGGUGUGAGUUGGGAAUUGGGCCAAAUGAGUAAAGGUUUUGAAUUAUUGAUUGAUACGGCAUACAAUUGGAUUCAGUUGACAUGAUAUGUCUUUAAGUAAGACAGACCAAUGACUAAAUUAGUUAUUUGUUUUAAUUUCUUAACUGACAAUGUCAGUCUGUAUGAGGUGAGGUUCAGGUGUGUCAAAACCUUAAACCUGGCCUUGAUCUUUGAUUUGGGGAUGAAUAAGCAUGGAUGGAAAGAAAGAGAUGAAGGUUUCUUCUUUUUAUUUAUUAAAUCUCAUGUUUGAUGUAUUUUUUUAUUUUUUGUAUCACCUUUGAACGUUUGUACAUGACUUGUACAUAAAAUGUGCGGUAAUGAACAAA